CUCUCAGCCUCUCAAGUAGCUAGGACUAUGAUCAAAUGCCAUCAUGCCCAGGCCAUGGGAAAAGAGACCUAAGAAAUGAUGCCCAUCCAGAAGAGUGAAGACUUCCUGGCAAUGUUCUUUUAACCUAAGAUGUAGGUUAAGAGGAGUGAACAAAUGUUCUGUUUCUGACUGAUCAUGGAGCAGCAAAGAAUGUCAGACAGAAGGAAGACUACUUAUUUGUUUUGAAUUGUUAUCAUACACCUAUAGUGAUAUAAUCAGUACCAGGAACUCCUAAAGAAGAAAUCAUCCAUUCAGUGAGAGCAAAUGAACACACCAACAGACUGAAACAAAGCAUCUUUGCAGGAGACAUGAAUGCCAGAAAGUGAAGAGAACUACAGUCAGGGUCUCUGCUGGCAUGGUCCAAGCCCACCGUGGCAUGACCCAGAGAGACGAGUCAGCAGAGUGCUAUGGACACCUCCCAUACUCCUCUCGCAGAUCAACAAGCCAGCACAUAACCCAGGGAGAUAGAUAAUAGUGAUGCUGUGCUCUGUAGAGGGUAGUGGCAACAGUGGGAUUUCUUCUGGAAUAAAUCUGUAGUGAGCCAGAUGUUUCUUCUGACUGUAUUACUUCUGACAGUGUAUAAUCCAAAAUUGUUUCCUUGGCCUUCCAAAGAGUUUUAUACGCUACCUAACGGCUACAAUAAAUCCCUUUCUUCUUAAACUA